UCCUGCUGCAAGCGUCAUGGCGACUUCCUGUUUACGUUUCUGGCUCCAACGCGUGCGUUCAACUUCCAAACUUCUGCGCUGUUCUACGUGACAUUGUGAAAUCUAUAUGGAUAUAUACGUGGUGGUCAUAUGUAGCACCACCCGGAGCAUCAAGCACCAAUAUUUGAUAUGCGACACUUUGCCUACUGGUCGUCAGAAGCUCGCAGAUGUUGAACGGCUGAUGGCGCAAGGAGAAUGCCAAUAUCUUCCUUGUACAUUUCAAAACAAUUCUUGAACAUGUAAUUCCCGUCCAGAAGUGUUACGUCCUUUAGUCAUCCUAGUGUGUUGCUCCUGAAAUGCCAAUAAAAAGUACAAUGUGAAAAUUU
rnacentral:lncRNA from 1 species